rnacentral:rRNA from 1 species
UACAGAGGGGGCAAGCGUUGUUCGGAAUUACUGGGCGUAAAGGGCGCGUAGGCGGCCUUCUAAGUCGAACGUGAAAUCCCCGGGCUCAACCCGGGAACUGCGUCCGAUACUGGAAGGCUUGAAUCCGGGAGAGGGAUGCGGAAUUCCAGGUGUAGCGGUGAAAUGCGUAGAUAUCGGGAGGAACACCAGCGGCGAAGGCGGCACUCUGGGCUGGAACGUGACGCUGAGGAGCGAAAGCGUGGGUAGCAAACAGGA